UACGAAGGGGGCUAGCGUUGCUCGGAAUUACUGGGCGUAAAGGGCGCGUAGGCGGCACUGUUAGUCUGGCGUGAAAGUCCUGGGCUCAACCUGGGAACUGCGCUUGAUACGGCAGAGCUAGAGGAUGGAAGAGGGUCGCGGAAUUCCCAGUGUAGAGGUGAAAUUCGUAGAUAUUCGGAAGAACACCAGUGGCGAAGGCGACAUACUGGUCCGUUACUGACGCUGAGGCUCGAAAGCGUGGGGAGCAAACAGG
rnacentral:rRNA from 1 species